rnacentral:rRNA from 1 species
CGGGUGCACUGAUCCAGCCGGGCCUUUCCCUCUGUGGAACCCCAUGGCCUUCACUGGCUGUGGCGGGGAAACAGGACUUUUACUUUGAAAAAAUUAGAGUGCUCCAGGCAGGCCUAUGCUCGAAUACAUUAGCAUGGAAUAAUAGAAUAGGACGUGUGGUUCUAUUUUGUUGGUUUCUAGGACCGCCGUAAUGAUCAAUAGGGACAGUCGGGGGCAUCAGUAUUCAAUUGUCAGAGGUGAAAUUCUUGGAUCUAUUGAAGACUAACUACUGCGAAAGCAUUUGCCAAGGAUGUUUUCAUUGAUAAGGAACGAAAGUUAGGGGAUCGAAGACGAUCAGAUACCGUCGUAGUCUUAACUAUAAACUAUGCCGACUAGGGAUCGGACGAUGUUAUUCUUUGACGCGUUCGGCACCUUUCGAGAAAUCAAAGUGCUUGGGCUCCAGGGGGAGUAUGGUCGCAAGGCUGAAACUUAAAGAAAUUGACGGAAGGGCACCACCAGGGGUGGAACCUGCGGCUUAAUUUGACUCAACACGGGGAAACUCACCAGGUCCAGACACAGUGAGGAUUGACAGAUUGAGAGCUCUUUCUUGAUUCUGUGGGUGGUGGUGCAUGGCCGUUCUUAGUUGGUGGAGUGAUUUGUCUGCUUAAUUGCGAUAACGAACGAGACCUUAACCUGCUAAAUAGCCCGUACUGCUUUGGCAGUUCGCCGGCUUCUUAGAGGGACUAUCGG